rnacentral:rRNA from 1 species
GGCAGCAGGCGAGAAUUUUUCUCAAUGGGGGCAACCCUGAAGGAGCGACGCCGCGUGGAGGAUGAAGGCUUUCGGGUUGUAAACUCCUGUCAUUUGAGAACAAGUGUGGGCAAGUAACUACUGCCUACUUGAUAGUAUCAGAAGAGGAAGAGACGGCUAACUCUGUGCCAGCAGCCGCGGUAAUACAGAGGUCUCAAGCGUUGUUCGGAUUCAUUGGGCGUAAAGGGUGCGUAGGUGGCGCGCUAAGUCAGGUGUGAAAUCUCGGGGCUUAACUCCGAAACUGCAUUUGAUACUGGCGUGCUUGAGGACUGGAGAGGAGACUGGAAUUCAUGGUGUAGCAGUGAAAUGCGUAGAGAUCAUGAGGAAGACCAGUGGCGAAGGCGGGUCUCUGGACAGUUCCUGACACUGAGGCACGAAGGCCAGGGGAGCAAACGGGAUUAGAUACCCCUGUAGU